rnacentral:lncRNA from 1 species
UAGAUAGUUUCUUGGAGUCGAUAUGAAUUCAGUGAGAACAAGUUGUAAACCUUAAAGCAUGCCGUUCUAGCUUUGUCCGCAUAUAUAAAUAUGUAAGUGCGUGUUCGUUCCAAGCUCAGCUGUCUUUAAUGAGACCGAGUUUUCCUCUUUUUGCAUGGCCAAGGACUUGGGUGUUUUACUUUUUAGUCAUCCUUGCAAUUAAUAACAUGCAAAAUCAAUUUUCUCACCAAUUCCCUUCUUCUUCUUCUUUUUUUUUUUUUUUUUGGUUUUUUUAAUAUAAAUUUCCUUUUGCAAAUUACCCAAAAAUUUACAAUUUGUUUUCAACUUUUACCAUAAAAUUUUGACUAUUUGAUUAUAAAAAAAGAAAAAAAAGAAGAAAAAAAAGAAGAGGAUGUGUAUGAGUCUCAUAUAUAUAACCAAACAGAAGCGACUAUAUUGGAUAAUGUCAGGGUUUGUUGAAACUGUGCUAUUAAUGCUAAGCCUCCUGUUUGUGAUGCCAAUUAAGAUUUUUGUUUCCCUUUUUCAUAAAGAGUCUUGGUGCAAUGGACAGGCAAUGGCUCUGCUUGCUACGUAUUCAAUUAAUAAUGUGGCCAAGAAAAUUUUCCAAAUUGUUAUUAGGGAUUUAUAUAUCUUGCUCAGAUUUCCCUUAUAAGUCAGUUAUGAGGUUGUUGAAUGCAUUAAUUGUGUGAAAUUGAAAGGAAAAAAAAAACAUCUGGCGUUAAGUUUAUUACUUGAAAAAAAAAAAAAGUUUGUUACAAUCAAAUGAACAGAAAAAUAAAAAAUAAAAAAGAGAUUUGAACAACAGGGUAAUCUUUACUACUUCAAAUCCCGACCCUAAUUGAAAGUGAGGAACUAACUUCGUUAUAGGAUUGUCUGUUUUUUUUUAAAUUUAUUUAUAUUUUUAAUACAAUCGAUAGUUAAAACUGUAAAGAAAGGGUGAUUACACACUCUAAAGGCGCCAUGAGAGUUCAAACUGAGACAAUUGGUUUGUCUAUCAAGACCAUUUUUCACUAGACUAGACUCCACUGGCAGGAUUGUCUGAUGUUAAUAAAGCUUAGAAGGGUCAUGAGUUUAACCUUGUGUAGUGGGUUUUUUUUGGGUUAAUAAACAUAUAUUUCCUGCUAAACAAACAUAUAGCUUUGUUCUUCCUAAUUGGUAUUUAGGGAUUACAGUCUUCUUAAGUAGUUGUUCUUGUUGACCACAUUUUCGGAUUUAAAGUAUAUAAUACAACAUGCACUCCGACUUUUCUCCUUGCCUUUUUUUUUUUACCCUCUUUGGGGUGGUGGUGAUGGUUGUAACUUGUAAGCCAUAUUUAUUCCAGUUAUCAUUAUCGUUCCAUACCUGACAGUUUUCUUAUAUUGGGUCAAAAACUGGACUGACUGAAUACAAUAUGGUUAGAAAAUUAGGAGAGACAAUUGAAAGCAUUAUGAACACAAGAUAGGAUUUUGACGAUUCUUUCAAGACUAAUAUCUGAAGCACUAUUUCUUCUCGUAGAUUGGAAAUGGCACAACCAUGACAUUGAUGAGGCGAUACGGCAUAUUACAUAGCUAGUUUCCUGCUGGUUUCUAUGCGCGGUAGAAACCCAAGCACAUAUAUACAACAAGGAAGAAUGAACCAAUCUUUUGUUUGUGCUAUAAGUAAUUGAAUUUUACCACCGACUCAUGGCUUCAUCCAUAAAUACUGAUAGAUUCUAAUAGGCUGAACUGCUUUAGAUGUUCCUUACUGGCCUUUUCGAAUUUAUUUUUUUCCUUUUGUUAGCCUAAUAAGAACUAGAAUAAUUAGCAUAGGAAAACAGAGCAUGUAACCCAAAAAAUAAGAAAAAGAAAACAUUAUGAAAACAGAGCAGUAUGCAUCGCAUUAUAACAAGAAGAUUACAAUGACUGAAUCCCCAUAUCAUAUGCUUCGUUUAUAAAUAUAUAUAACUGGGAAAACUGGAAAUUGAAAGAAAGAAUAUCGGGUGAGAAAU